UAAUAAAAGUGAGAGUUCAGGCCCAGUUUCUUCAGAAACUCAUGUAACAUCAGAGUAGACAGCUUGGCCUCACAAGGCCAAAAGAUUAUGUCUCUGCUCCUGGAAUCCUGAAACCUCAAGGAAGAUGUCAAGCCGCAAAAGUAGUCCAGCAUCAGCGUGUAAGUUUCGCAAAGUUCCCCCAAGCAGGAGGAACAAGAAGUGCAGGAAAAUCUAUGAAGCACCACUGAAGAAGAAGAAAGGAUUCGUCCGUGUCUGUGCCACAUACUACUACUGGAGAGGAGGGAAAAAUAAUUCCCAGUGAAUAUCUUUCCCUACUUAAAAAUUCCAUCUCUGAUCACUACAAUCUAGUGUAUCACCACCAGGCAUCUUCCAUGACAGGGGACAUCAGCAGAUCAUGAUCUGAGGGAAAUAAGACAAGAUCCAGCGCCUCGUCCAUGAUAGGAGCAAGAUAUGUCUGUCUGGCUGUCAAUAAACUCACCCUGUUUCAUUCUCUGGA